rnacentral:rRNA from 1 species
UACGUAGGGGCUAGCGUUAUCCGGAAUUACUGGGCGUAAAGGGUGCGUAGGCGGUCUUUCAAGUCAGAAGUGAAAGGCUACGGCUCAACCGUAGUAAGCUUUUGGAACUGUAAGACUUGAGUGCAGGAGAGGAGAGUGGAAUUCCUAGUGUAGCGGUGAAAUGCGUAGAUAUUAGGAGGAACACCAGUAGCGAAGGCGGCUCUCUGGACCAUAACUGACGCUGAGGCACGAAAGCGUGGGGAGCAAACAGGAUUAGAUACCCGCGUAGUCCCUGA